GUUUGCACUGUUUUGGCUUCUCCAGCUGAAACCUGAAGGCUGUCGGUGAUGAAACGGACUCCGACUGUUCCUGAUGCAGAGAACUGGAUCCAUUUCAUCACGGGGAACACAGAUGGAAAAACAACAGAGCUAAUCAGAGCUUCUACAACUAAGAUGGAAUUUUUCUGCGUGAGAGAAAGAAAAACUGUGAGGAGUGAGGAUGAGGACGAGGCUGAUGCGGCUCUACAGGCUGUUUGAGUCGACCUACAACAACAAAUAACAACUCUUCAAUCUGCAUAUUUCCUCAAUCGACAUGACAAACUUACUUGUCAGCACAUCACUCAGCUUCUGUGCCACUGCUUCUUCAAACUGGCAGCAGGCAAACCCAAAUCUACUGCAGGUAACACACUGACUGUGGAUAAG